AGAGCGAACGCUGGCGGCGUGCUUAACACAUGCAAGUCGAGUGCGCGCCUGUAGCAAUACAGGUGGCGCACGGCGCACGGGUGCGUAACACGUGGGUAAUCUGCCCUUCGAUGGGGAAUAACUCCGGGAAACCGAAGCUAAUUCCGCAUAACAUUCCUUGAACUUCGGUUUGGGGACUCAAAGCCGUAAGGCGUCGGAGGAGGAACCCGCGCACGAUUAGCUAGUUGGUAGGGUAACGGCCUACAAGGCUUUGAUCGUUAGCUGGU
rnacentral:rRNA from 1 species